UACGAAGGGUGCAAGCGUUAAUCGGAAUUACUGGGCGUAAAGCGUGCGUAGGCGGUGACUUAAGUCUGUUGUGAAAUCCCCGAGCUCAACUUGGGAAUGGCAUUGGAAACUGGCGGGCUGGAGUGUGGCAGAGGGGGGUGGAAUUCCACGUGUAGCAGUGAAAUGCGUAGAGAUGUGGAGGAACACCGAUGGCGAAGGCAGCCCCCUGGGCCAACACUGACGCUCAGGCACGAAAGCGUGGGGAGCAAACAGG
rnacentral:rRNA from 1 species